rnacentral:rRNA from 1 species
GGCAAGCGUUGUUCGGAAUUCUUGUGGGUAAAGGGUUCGCAGGCGGUUUAUUAAGUUUGAAUGUGAAAGCCCCCGGCUUAACCGGGGAAGGGUCAUUGGAAAAUGGGGAAACUUGGAUGCAGUAAGGGGGGGGUGGAAUUCCCACGUGUAAGCGGUGAAAUGCGUAGAGAUGUGGAGGAACACCAGUGGCGAAGGGGGACUCUCUGGUCUGUAACUGACGCUGAAGGAGCGAAAGCGUGGGGAGCGAACAGGAUUAGAUACCGUGGUAGUCCCACGCCUGUAAAGGAUGAGUGCCUAAGCGUUAGGGGGUUUCCGCCCCUUAGUGCUGCAGCUAACGCAUUAAGCACUCCGCCUGGGGAGU